UCUGGCCGUUUGAGGGAGUAGCUAUUUUGCGUUGUGAAAACGUAGAAGGUUGCAUCAACAUAUUUGACAACACGUCAUGGUGUAACCAGUAGUACGUUUUAGUACUUACCAAGCGAGACUCGAAUAACUUAC
rnacentral:sRNA from 1 species